UACGAAGGGGGCUAGCGUUGUUCGGAAUCACUGGGCGUAAAGCGCACGUAGGCGGGCGUGUCAGUCAGGGGUGAAAUCCCGGAGCUCAACUCCGGAACUGCCUCUGAUACAGCACGUCUUGAGUUCGAGAGAGGUGGGUGGAAUUCCUAGUGUAGAGGUGAAAUUCGUAGAUAUUAGGAAGAACACCGGUGGCGAAGGCGGCCCACUGGCUCG
rnacentral:rRNA from 1 species